rnacentral:rRNA from 1 species
UAAUACGGAGACUGCAAGCGUUAUUCGGAUUCACUGGGCGUAAAGGGUGCGCAGGCGGCCGUGUGUGUUAGGUGUGAAAGCCCGAGGCUUAACCUCGGAAUUGCGCCUAAAACUACACGGCUAGAGCAUUGGAGAGGGUAGCGGAAUUCACGGUGUAGCAGUGAAAUGCGUAGAUAUCGUGAGGAACACCAGAGGCGAAGGCGGCUACCUGGACAAUUGCUGACGCUCAGGCACGAAAGCGUGGGGAGCAAAAGGG